UAUUAACUGCCACCGGGUAGUAAAAUGCGCAAGCAUCCGUGCAUAUCGUUAGGUCUUUGAAGAUAUGUACAUGGAUGCUUAUUUUAUUU
rnacentral:ncRNA from 1 species